CAUGUACGGAAUCCUUUAGAGAUAGAGGAGUGCUCGAAAGAGAGCCGUAACACAGGUGCUGCAAAAAAGUCGUCAGCUCGUGUCGUGAGAUGUUGGGUUAAGUCCCGCAACGAGCGCAACCCUUGCCAUUAGUUGCUACGAAAGGGCACUCUAAUGGGACUGCCGGUGACAAACCGGAGGAAGGUGGGGAUGACGUCAAGUCCUCAUGGCCCUUAUAGGUGGGGCUACACACGUCAUACAAUGGCUGGUACAAAGGGUUGCCAACCCGCGAGGGGGAGCUAAUCCCAUUAACCCUUCGUAGUCCGGAUCGCAGUCUGCAACUCGACUGCGUGAAGUCGGAAUCGCU
rnacentral:rRNA from 1 species